ACUACGGGAGGCAGCAGUGGGGGAUAUUGCACAAUGGGGGGAACCCUGAUGCAGCGACGCCGCGUGGGUGAAGAAGCGCCUCGGCGCGUAAAGCCCUGUCAGCAGGGAAGAAAAUGACGGUACCUGAAGAAGAAGCCCCGGCUAACUACGUGCCAGCAGCCGCGGUAAUACGUAGGGGGCAAGCGUUAUCCGGAUUUACUGGGUGUAAAGGGGGCGCAGACGGCGAUGCAAGCCAGGAGGGAAAGCCCGGGGCCCAACCCCGGGACUGCUCGUGGAACUGCGUGGCUGGAGUGCAGGAGGGGCAGGCGGAAUUCCUGGUGUAGCGGUGAAAUGCGUAGAUAUCAGGAGGAACACCGGUGGCGAAGGCGGCCUGCUGGACUGCAACUGACGUUGAGGCCCGAAAGCGUGGGGAGCAAACAGGAUUAGAUACCCUGGUAGUC
rnacentral:rRNA from 1 species